rnacentral:rRNA from 1 species
ACGGGUAACGGGGAAUUAGGGUUCGAUUCCGGAGAGGGAGCCUGAGAAACGGCUACCACAUCCAAGGGAAGGCAGCAGGCGCGCAAAUUACCCAAUCCUGACACAGGGCAGGUAGUGACAAGAAAUAACAAUACAGGGCAAUUGUCUUGUAAUUGGAAUGAUGGUGACCUAAACCCUCACCAGAGUAACAAUUGGAGGGCAAGUCUGGUGCCAGCAGCCGCGGUAAUUCCAGCUCCAAUAGCGUAUAUUAAACUUGUUGCAGUUAAAAAGCUCGUAGUUGAAUUUUUGCGUGGUGUUAANAUUGACUGAUGUCGAGAUUGCACUUCGCUUUUGGGAUUUUUCCCUUUUUACUUUGAGAAAAUUAGAGUGUUUCAAGCAGACUUUUGU